AUUACAUAUUAAUUAAUUAUAUUAAUCCUUACACAAUAUUUUUGAUGUGUUCUUAUACUGAAAAUAUUUAUUACUAUUCCAGGUAUAACCCGAGGUGAUUAGCAGUAGUCGUUGGAGGUGGUUGGCGGUGGUCGGAGGUGGACGAGGAGGA
rnacentral:lncRNA from 1 species